rnacentral:tRNA from 1 species
GCCUGGCUGGCUCAGUUGGUAGAGCAUGUGAUUCUUGAUCUUGAAGUCGUGAGUUCAAGCCCUACGUUGGGCA